GAGUUUGCAUGCUUCUGCUAGUGACCAGGUGCUGAACAAGGUAAUAUUCUGAUUUUUUUUAUAUAAAUGUUAUGCACAGAUGCUAUGUUAUAUAAGAACAAAAAUGCAUCUCUUAACAAGACUUUUUUUUUUUUUAAAUCACUCCUGCAAAAUACAUUUCUGCACUCAGCAAGCGGAAAAGUCAUUUAAACCUGUUAGCUUUUAGUGAGCAUAUUAAAUGUGUCAACUUGUAAGUAAAACGGUGUAAAUGCUUACAAUAUUCAUGUUUUUCUAUUUGUCAACCAACAGUUCAUCACAAAUUCAUGACAAAAGCCUCUCAAAUGCCUGCAGUGGGAAUGCUCCAUAAAGCGCAUUUCUUUUUGAAAAGACAUCAUCCAUUAUGGUUCAUCAUUGGAGAUUUGCAUCCUACGCUUUCAAAACGAGAUAAAUAUUUUUCUAUCAUAAAUUCUUUAAGCUCGUAAGCCAUGAAAAAAUGAAAGCAAGCUGCUCUUCUGCACAGUAAUUUUGUGUUUAAAAAAACCACAAAUGGACUUGUAUGUCAGUUCGUUUACUGAAUAAUUAACAGCUGCAUCGUGUGCACAAUGCGCAGCCAUACAUUAUUGAUCCCUUGGUUGUUUUUGACUCCUCUAGAGGGUUUUUAUUUCAAUUAAUAAACACUCUGUGGUUGGAAUAUGCACACAUUUCUAAGCAUGGUUUGCUAUGUUUUAAAUAAUGCUGUCCAUAUGUAUUCAUUUUUUAAUAAACUUUCCUUUUUCUCUCAGUUUUGUAGAACAUCAGUGGCUCAGAAGAUUAGGAGGAGUGUUGUGUAUUUUCCAGGCAUGUUGAGCUGUGAUGAUUCUCAUUUGAAUAAUACAGUACAAAUGUAUAUUUGGCUGGAAAUGAUGGGAUGAAAAGGACUGAAUGGGGUUGAGACCAGAUGUGAACCUGAUUUGAACCCACAUCUCCCACAUGAGCACUACAGUGCUACGUGCUAACCACAAGGCCAUGGCCCCACUGAACUGAAUUGAGAAUAGAUCAUCACAGAGCCGUCGAAGGAUAUGCUUAUACAUCAUUUAAGGUUUGUGCUGUCUGGGAUACUUAUGGCUAGCAUUUGUAGAAAACACCAAGCAGAAGCCGUGCAACACAUUUCAUUUGCCUUGUUUAGUGAGGAAAAUCCAGAAAAUUUGUUUUUCUGCUCCCCCGCUGGUCUGGCACUGAGACAAAGACAUCGUAUUCCUCAUGCACAGUUAACCUUUUCAUUAAACUACAUUGCAUAAUUAUCACAAGAAGCCC
rnacentral:lncRNA from 12 species